rnacentral:rRNA from 1 species
GACGAACGCUGGCGGCGUGCUUAACACAUGCAAGUCGAACGCUGAAGCUCAGCUUUUGUUGGGUGGAUGAGUGGCGAACGGGUGAGUAACACGUGAGUAACCUGCCUCCUUCUUUGGGAUAACGCCCGGAAACGGGUGCUAAUACUGGAUAUUCACUGGUCUUCGCAUGGGGGUUGGUGGAAAGGGUUUUUCUGGUGGGGGAUGGGCUCGCGGCCUAUCAGCUUGUUGGUGGGGUGAUGGCCUACCAAGGCUUUGACGGGUAGCCGGCCUGAGAGGGUGACCGGCAACAUUGGGACUGAGAUACGGCCCAGACUCCGACGGGGGGGAGCAGUGGGGAAUAUGGCACAAUGGGCGAAAGCCUGAUGCAGCGACGCCGCGUGAGGGAUGGGGGCCGUCGGGUUGUGAACCUCUGUCGCACAUGGUCAAGCCGCAACAAUGGUUGUGGUGAGGGUAGUGGGUAAAGAAGCGCCGGCUAACUACGUG